CGGAAUCUACUUUUUCGUGGGGGAUAACGUAGGGAAACUUACGCUAAUACCGCAUACGACCUACGGGUGAAAGCAGGGGACCUUCGGGCCUUGCGCGAUUGAAUGAGCCGAUGUCGGAUUAGCUAGUUGGCGGGGUAAAGGCCCACCAAGGCGACGAUCCGUAGCUGGUCUGAGAGGAUGAUCAGCCACACUGGAACUGAGACACGGUCCAGACUCCUACGGGAGGCAGCAGUGGGGAAUAUUGGACAAUGGGCGCAAGCCUGAUCCAGCCAUACCGCGUGGGUGAAGAAGGCCUUCGGGUUGUAAAGCCCUUUUGUUGGGAAAGAAAUCCAGCCGGCUAAUAUCUGGUUGGGAUGACGGUACCCAAAGAAUAAGCACCGGCUAACUUCGUGCCAGCAGCCGCGGUAAUACGAAGGGUGCAAGCGUUACUCGGAAUUACUGGGCGUAAAGCGUGCGUAGGUGGUUGUUUAAGUCUGUUGUGAAAGCCCUGGGCUCAACCUGGGAACUGCAGUGGAAACUGGACGACUAGAGUGUGGUAGAGGGUAGCGGAAUUCCUGGU
rnacentral:rRNA from 1 species